CAACCUGCCUUGGAGUGGGGAAUAACAGCUGGAAACAGCUGCUAAUACCGCAUGAUAUGUCUGUAUCACAUGGUACUGGACAUCAAAGAUCUAUCGCUCUGAGAUGGGCUCGCGUCUGAUUAGCUAGUUGGUGGGGCAACGGCCCACCAAGGCGACGAUCAGUAGCCGGACUGAGAGGUUGGCCGGCCACAUUGGGACUGAGACGCGGCCCAGACUCCUACGGGAGGCAGCAG
rnacentral:rRNA from 1 species